UGGGGAAUAUUGGACAAUGGGGGAAACCCUGAUCCAGCAAUGCCGUGUGAGUGAUGAAGGCCCUUGGGUUGUAAAGCUCUGUCAGGAGGGACGAAAUGCCCCGUAAGGGGAGCUGACGGUACCUCCAAAGGAAGCACCGGCUAACUCCGUGCCAGCAGCCGCGGUAAUACGGAGGGUGCAAGCGUUGUUCGGAAUCACUGGGCGUAAAGCGCGUGUAGGCGGUUUUUUAAGUCGGAUGUGAAAUCCCUCGGCUCAACCGAGGACGUGCAUCCGAUACUGGAAAACUUGAGUAUCGGAGGGGAUGGCGGAAUUCCUGGUGUAGAGGUGAAAUUCGUAGAUAUCAGGAGGAACAUCUGUGGCGAAGGCGGCCAUCUGGAAGAUAACUGACGCUGAGACGCGAAAGCGUGGGGAGCAAACAGG
rnacentral:rRNA from 1 species